UACAUAGGGUGCGAGCGUUGUUCGGAAUUAUUGGGCGUAAAGGGCGCGUAGGCGGUGCGGUAAGUCACCUGUGAAAUCUCCUGGCUCAACUGGGAGCUUGCAGGCGAAACUGCCGUGCUGGAGUGUGGGAGAGGUGCGUGGAAUUCCUGGUGUAGCGGUGAAAUGCGUAGAUAUCAGGAGGAACACCUGUGGCGAAAGCGGCGCACUGGACCACAACUGACGCUGAGGCGCGAAAGCUAGGGGAGCAAACGGG
rnacentral:rRNA from 1 species